CGGGGGAGCACCCCCAAGGGGUGAAGCCUUGCGGUUUCAAUUGGAGUCAACCGCCAGAAAUCUUACCCGGAGAGACAGCAGAAUGAAGGUCAAGCUGAAGACUUUUACCAGACAAGCUGAGAGGUGGUGCAUGGCCGUCGCCAGCUCGUGCCGUGAGAUGUCCUGUUAAGUCAGGUAACGAGCGAGAUCCCUGCCUCUAGUUGCCACCAUUACUCUCAGGAGUAGUGGGGCGAAUUAGCGGGACCGCCGCAGUUAAUGCGGAGGAAGGAAGGGGCCACGGCAGGUCAGUAUGCCCCGAAACUCUGGGGCCACACGCGGGCUGCAAUGGUAGCGACAAUUGGUUUCGAAUCCGAAAGGAUGAGGUAAUCCACAAACGCUACCACAGUUAUGACUGAGGGCUGCAACUCGCCCUCACGAAUAUGGAAUCCCUAGUAACUGCGUGUCAUUAUCGCGCGGUGAAUACGUCCCUGCUCCUUGCACACACCGCCCGUCGUUUCAUUGAAAGUGAGCUUUUAGCGAGGUGACGUCU
rnacentral:rRNA from 1 species